rnacentral:pre_miRNA from 1 species
CUCAUACCCCCUCUGUCCGGAAAUACUUGUCGGAGGAAUGGAUGUAUCUAGAUGUAUUUUAGUUCUAGAUACAUUCGUUUUUAUCCAUUUCUCCGACAAGUAUUUUCGGACGGAGGGAAUAGUAA